rnacentral:rRNA from 1 species
UACGUAGGUGGCAAGCGUUGUCCGGAAUUAUUGGGCGUAAAGCGCGCGCAGGUGGUUUCUUAAGUCUGAUGUGAAAGCCCACGGCUCAACCGUGGAGGGUCAUUGGAAACUGGGGAACUUGAGUGCAGAAGAGGAAAGUGGAAUUCCAAGUGUAGCGGUGAAAUGCGUAGAGAUUUGGAGGAACACCAGUGGCGAAGGCGGCUUUCUGGACGGUAACUGACGCUGAGGCGCGAAAGCGUGGGGAGCAAACAGG